rnacentral:rRNA from 1 species
UACUCCCGCCGGCGACCGGCGCACGGGUGAGUAACACGUAUGAAACCUGCCCGUAGCAGGGGGAUAAGCGGAAGAAAUUCCGUCUAAUACCGCGUAACAACCCGAGGAGGCAUCUCCUCGGGUUUAAAGGAAGCGAUUCCGGCUACGGAUGGUCAUGCGUCGCAUUAGCUAGUUGGCGGGGUAACGGCCCACCAAGGCGACGAUGCGUAGGGGUUCUGAGAGGAAGGUCCCCCACAUUGGAACUGAGACACGGUCCAAACUCCUACGGAAGGCAGCAG